rnacentral:rRNA from 1 species
UUGAGCGAGGCCACCGCAAGGGUGAGUCGAGCGGCGAACGGGUGAGUAACGCGUGGAUAACCUGCCCUUUAGUGGGGAAUAACCCGGGGAAACUCGGGCUAAUACCGCAUAAGACCGAGAGGUGAAAGCGGGGUCGCAAGAUCUCGUGCUAAUGGAGGGGUCCGCGUUCGAUUAGCUAGUUGGCAGGGUAAUGGCUACCAAGGCGACGAUCGAUAGCCGGCCUGAGAGGGUGAUCGGCCACACUGGAACUGAGACACGGUCCAGACUCCUACGGGAGGCAGCAGUCGAGAAUUUUGCGCAAUGGGGUAACGCCUGAUCGCAGGAACGCCGCGUGGAGGAUGAAGGUCUUCGGAUUGUAAACUCCUGUCAUUGGGGAACAAGGUGCAUACGUUAACUGCGUGUCCAUUGAUAGUACCCGAAGAGGAAGAGCCGUCUAACUCUGUGCCACCAGCCGCGGUAAUACAGAGGUCUCAAGCGUUGUUCGGAUUCAUUGGCCGUAAAGGGUGCGUAGGCGGCGCGGUAAGUCGGGUGUGAAAUCUCGGAGCUUAACUCCGAAACUGCACCCGAUACUCCCGUGCUUGAGGACUGGAGAGGAGACUGGAAUUUACGGUGUAGCGGUGAAAUGCGUAGAUAUCGUAAGGAAGACCAGUGCCGAAGGCGGUCUCUGGACAUUCCUGACGCUGAGCACGGAGCCAGGG